rnacentral:rRNA from 1 species
UACGUAGGUCCCGAGCGUUGUCCGGAUUUACUGGGCGUAAAGGGAGCGUAGGCGGACUGUCAAGUCAGCGGUAAAAUUGAGAGGCUCAACGCCGUCGAGCCGUUGAAACUGGCGUUCUUGAGUGGGCGAGAAGUAUGCGGAAUGCGUGGUGUAGCGGUGAAAUGCAUAGAUAUCACGCAGAACUCCGAUUGCGAAGGCAGCAUACCGGCGCCCUACUGACGCUGAGGCACGAAAGCGUGGGUAUCGAACAGG